GAUCAAGCUAGAAAGGGCGCAUGGGGGAUGUCUUGGUAUCAGAAGAUUUUGAAAGGCGUUGAAGACUGCGAUAUGUCCGGGGGAGUUGUCAAACAAACUGUGAUCCCGGAAUUCCUGAACCGGUACUGAUUGAAUUCAUAGAUCAGUACAAGCAACACAGGGAACUGAAACAUCUAAGUACCUGUAGGAAAAGAAAGAAAAAUCGAUUCCGUCAGUAGCGGCGAGCGAAAGCGGAACAGCCCAAACCAGAAGGAUUUUCCUUUUGGGGUUGUAGGGUCUCUCGCAUGGGAGUCAAAAAGUUGUCGGAUAGUAGAAAUGGUUGGAAAGCCAUACCACAGAGGGUGACAGUCCCGUACACAAAAUUUGUACAGCCUCCCGAGAGAUACCUGAGUAGGUCGGGUCACGUGAAACCCUGACUGAAUCGGCGGAGACCAUUCCGCAAGGCUAAAUACUCUCUGAUAACCGAUAGUGAACCAGUAGAGCGAUCGAAAGAUGAAAAGAACCCUUGAAAGGGAGUGUCUAUAGAAUCUGAAACCAUGUGCCUACAAGCGGUCGGAGCACGAUGAUAUUUUAUAUCCGUGUGACGGCGUGCCUUUUGCAUAAUGAUCCGGCGAGUUGGCGUAAACAGCCCGGUUAAGAACCUUCGGUUCGAAGCCACAGGGAAACCAAGUCUGAAUAGGGCGAAUUUGUUGUUUGUGCCAGACGCGAACCCCAGUGAUCUACCCAUGAGCAGGUUGAAGCGCGGGUUAAACCGCGUGGAGGACCGAACCCACUUGGGUUGAAAACCGAGGGGAUGACUUGUGGGGAGGAGUGAAAGUCUAAUCAAACUGGGAGAUAGCUCGUUCUCUUCGAAAUAGCUUUAGGGCUAGCCUUG
rnacentral:rRNA from 1 species